UACGUAGGGGGCAAGCGUUGUCCGGAAUCAUUGGGCGUAAAGAGCGUGUAGGCGGCCCGGUAAGUCCGCCGUGAAAGUCCAGGGCUCAACCCUGGAAUGCCGGUGGAAACUGCCGGGCUGGAGUCCGGAAGAGGCGAGUGGAAUUCCGGGUGUAGCGGUGGAAUGCGUAGAGAUCCGGAAGAACACCGGUGGCGAAGGCGGCCUGCUGGGCAGUGGCUGACGCUGAUGCGCGACAGCGUGGGGAGCAAACAGG
rnacentral:rRNA from 1 species